ensembl:lncRNA
ACAACAUCAAGCCAGCGUGCAGGGAGCAAUUAGGGGUUAGGUGUCUUGCUCAGGGACACUUCAACAUGGAGCAGCUGGGGCUCGAACCGCCAACCUUGCUGUUCCCGGCGCACCCACUCUACUUCAUGCGCCACCGUCGACAGUGGUGAUCGUUCAACCCUCCAUCAGAUGAAGCAUGUUUCACUGUGCGCUGUGCCCAAUACUCAGGGCUCCCUUCAGCAGAUGUGGUGAGUGAGCGACAAUUUGUUGUUGUUGAUAAAAGGUUGUUGAAAAGCCAAUGGGGAUACUGGAGGCAGCGAAGGGUGAGGGAUGCCUUUAAUUUCACCAACCGGGGCUUAAUUAAAAUGCAUUUUAAAUAUUGAUGAGGCUGGUUGUCCCUACUGUAAGGCAGCGCCGGGAAACUGGAGCACGGGAGAUGAAACUUAACAAGGAG